AACCCCAGCACCGCAAGGCGCUGGGGUUUCAUUUGGUGCCGGCUAUCGGAUUCGAACUGAUGACCUA
rnacentral:tRNA from 1 species